rnacentral:rRNA from 1 species
GUAGGUGGCAAGCGUUGUCCGGAAUUAUUGGGCGUAAAGCGCGCGCAGGCGGUUCCUUAAGUCUGAUGUGAAAGCCCCCGGCUCAACCGGGGAGGGUCAUUGGAAACUGGGGAACUUGAGUGCAGAAGAGGAGAGCGGAAUUCCACGUGUAGCGGUGAAAUGCGUAGAGAUGUGGAGGAACACCAGUGGCGAAGGUGGCUCUCUGGUCUGUAACUGACGCUGAGGCGCGAAAGCGUGGGGAGCGAACAGGAUUAGAUACCCUGGUAGUCCACGCCGUAAACGAUGAGUGCUAAGUGUUAGAGGGUUUCCGCCCUUUAGAGCUGCAGCAAACGCAUUAAGCACUCCGCCUGGGAGUACGGCCGCAAGGCUG